AAGAAUGAAAUCGAUGAUUUUUCGCCGUGUCUUUGUCAACGGGUUAUUGUUUUUGUUAUGGAAGUGUGCGCGAACAUCUUGUGAACGUCUCCAUUCCGCCGUCUUUGUGAUGUUUGACGCAGGACAUCCACAAUGAACGAAAUUUUGCCAAAACGCAAUUUCCGCGACAAAGGAUUUGUUUAUGGGCCGGAGAAAAUGACAUUGUCGGUUCCAAGAAAAGAAAUCGUGAGAUCAUAGCCUUCUUUUAAUGAUUUAAUGCAUUUAGAUACGUUUUUGUUAUUUAUAACGUUUUCGCCAAAAUUAUUUACAACGAAUAAAACAUUAUCAGUAUCUUUUAGCUAACAAAACUAGGCGUUUUCUACAACUUUCAAGGAAAUAAUUAUUCACCAAUAAUUGCAUUGCUGUAUUCAUUUUGUUGUCCAUUCAUUCGCUUUAGUGAUAUUUGCAUGUUAUACCAUUAGUUUUAUUGUUUUUUAAUAGAAUAUUAUUUAUGGUUAUUAUUUGCUACAUACCACGGCGCACCAGUUAACACUCGUAAUGUUAUAUUUUGAAAGGAUUGUAUUGGUCGAAUGUUGGAUGGUUUAGCUGGUCCCUAUAUCUGUAUACCACAAGACCAGACUGGUCUGAUUAUUGACUGAUAAAUAAGUAAUUUUAUUUCGAGAGUUCCUGAACCAAGAUUCGAUGUAGUUGUCGUGUGUUUGUAGAUGAUGGAGAGUUUCAGUAAUAUUACUAUGAGUAGACAGUAUAGCAGUAGCGUCAGCAAAUGUAGCAAGAAGGGUAUUAGUAGACUGGGGUAUGUCUGCGGUAAAAAUAUUGUAGAGGUCGGGAGACAGGUCACUUCCUUGAGGAACACCUGCUUGAAUAUUGUAAGGCGCUGGGAAUUUUUUUUUAAUUUGUAAAGCAGCCCAUCAUGCCACACCCUAUCAAAGGCUUGGGCGACGUUGAAGAAUAGUCCAGUACAGUAUUUGCGGUUUUCAAAUGCUGAGGCUAUUGUGUCGGCCAACCUAUGGACUUGGCGUAUAGUAGAGUGUCUAUCGCGGAAUCCAAACGGGGUGUUGGGUAAGAUGUGAUACUCUUGUAAUAUUGGCCUAAUCCUAUAUGAAGCUGCCAUGUUUUUUGGUUUCCCUGGUUUAGGUAUAAGGAUUAUUACGGCUAAUUUCCAAAUUGACGGAAAGUAAGAAAGACGCAUUAUACUAUUGUAAAUAUAUAAUAAAAGGAGAAUACCUUUUUUUGAUAGGUUCAUCAACACUUUAUUUGUGAUUAGGUCAUACCCAGGAGCUUUACCUUUAGGUAAUUCUUAAAUAGUAGCUUCAAUUUUUCAGGAUUGAAUGGUUUAAUAGGAGGAGAUACAUAAUAGGUAGAGUACAUGAGAUACGUAGUUCCGUUAACAUUGGUUGUUUAAACGAAACGAGUCACUGAAACCAUUGACAACAAUCGGAAGUACAGGGUAACAACUUGGAAUUAAUCGAUUUUCACAGUUUAACUUAUUUGUUAUUUACAAAUAAUUUUUAAUUGAUUAAUAAGAAUAAUGUCAAAUAACAGUUUCUACCUGAAAAAUCGAUAGUACAUUAAUCUGGAAGAUUAAGUCUAUGGCAGCAUAAUUUAAUAUGUAAAUUACGGGAUAGUAUAGAUCAUUUGUGAAUGUAGUAGUAUUUGCACCCCUCUGAGUGGAUGAGGGAGUGUACCAACUCUUCAGGAUAUGACACAAUUUGCAUUAAUUCCAUACUAAGAUUAUGUUAUAUAAUUUUUAAAAACCAUAAAAAUGCAUAAAAUUAGAGAAGCCAUAGAAAUGCAUCAAAUUAGAGAAACCAUAGAAAUUUAAAAAUAAAAAUAUCAAGAAGCCAUAGAAAUGCAUAAAAUUUGAGAAGCCAUAGAAAUUCAAAAAUAAAAACAUCAUGAAGCCAUAGAAAUUCAUCAAAUUAGAGAAACCAUAGAAAUUCAAAAAUAAAAAUAUCAAGAAGCCAUGGAAAUGUAUAAAAUUUGAGAAAUAACGAAAAAUGAAAAUAAACAAAAAAAUUUUUUUUUAUAAGAUACAUUUUUUAAAUUGUAUAAAAUUUAAAACAAAAUCAAUGAUAAAUAUUAUUAGGUAUUCAUCAUUUAUAUAAUAAGGUAUUAUGUAAAAUAAUUUAGAAAAAUAUCAAAUUUGUUUUUUUAAUAAUUUAAUAAGUUAUAUAUUUGUGUUACUUUAAAUUAUGUGUUAUGAAAAUAUUUUUAAGUAUGUUUCUUCAAAAGUUAAAAUUUAAAGACUGUAAGUUUAGGUGCAUGACAGGAGAGCUAAUUAAAUAAUUGCCUCUUGAGAUUAUUA